AACGAACGCUGGCGGCAUGCCUAACACAUGCAAGUCGAACGAGACCUUCGGGUCUAGUGGCGCACGGGUGCGUAACGCGUGGGAACCUGCCCUUAGGUUCGGAAUAACUCCCCGAAAGGGGUGCUAAUACCGGAUAAUGUCUUCGGACCAAAGAUUUAUCGCCUUUGGAUGGGCCCGCGUUGGAUUAGCUAGUUGGUAGGGUAAAAGCCUACCAAGGCGACGAUCCAUAGCUGGUCUGAGAGGAUGAUCAGCCACACUGGGACUGAGACACGGCCCAGACUCCUACGGGAAGCAGCAGUGGGGAAUAUUGGACAAUGGGCGAAAGCCUGAUCCAGCAAUGCCGCGUGAGUGAUGAAGGCUUUAGGGUUGUAAAGCUCUUUUACCCGGGAUGAUAAUGACAGUACCGGGAGAAUAAGCUCCGGCUAACUCCGUG
rnacentral:rRNA from 1 species